rnacentral:rRNA from 1 species
GUGCCAGCAGCCGCGGUAAUACGUAGGGACCGAGCGUUGUCCGGAUUUAUUGGGCGUAAAGAGCUCGUAGGCGGCCGAUCACGUCGGAUGUGAAAGCUCAAGGCUCAACCUUGAGAGGCCAUUCGAUACGGAUCGGCUAGAGGUAGGUAGGGGAAAGUGGAAUUCCUGGUGUAGCGGUGAAAUGCGCAGAUAUCAGGAGGAACACCGGUGGCGAAGGCGGCUUUCUGGGCCUUACCUGACGCUGAGGAGCGAAAGCUGGGGGAGCGAACAGGAUUAGAAACCCUGGUAGUCC